GAGUUUGAUCCUGGUUCAGGAUGAAUGCUGGCGGCGUGCUUAACACAUGCAAGUCGAGCGAGAGAGWCUCUUCGGAGACAAUCUAGCGGCGGACGGGUGAGUAACACGUGGGUAACCUGCCUUGUAGUGGGGGAUAGCCCUCCGAAAGGAGGAUUAAUACCGCAUAUUGUCACAUUGAGGCAUCUCAAAGUGAUGAAAGGAGUAAUCCGCUACAAGAUGGGCCCGCGGCGCAUUAGCUAGUUGGUGAGGUAACGGCUCACCAAGGCGACGAUGCGUAGCCGACCUGAGAGGGUGAUCGGCCACAUUGGGACUGAGACACGGCCCAGACUCCUACGGGAGGCAGCAGUGGGGAAUAUUGCACAAUGGGGGAAACCCUGAUGCAGCAACGCCGCGUGAGUGAUGAAGGUCUUCGGAUUGUAAAGCUCUGUCUUCGGGGACGAUAAUGACGGUACCCGAGGAGGAAGCCACGGCUAACUACGUGCCAGCAGCCGCGGUAAUAC
rnacentral:rRNA from 1 species